GGUUCCUUAGCUCGUUGCUCUUGAGAGACAUUCUCUUUGAGCUUAAUUAUUCUUCCGAUGCUACUAUCUUGAAUAAAUUAUUUUUUAAGAAAAAUAGCAUGUCGAUUCACAAUCACAUUGUGAUCUUCGAGAAUAUAGAAAUAGUAUCCUAAUGAUUCUUUAGGAUAUCUUAUGAACCGAGCUCUAAAAGAUCUGAACUCUAACUUGUCC
rnacentral:lncRNA from 1 species